GUGAGGAAUAUUGGUCAGUGGGCGGGAGCCUGAACCAGCCAAGUCGCGUGAAGGAAGAAGGAUCUAUGGUUCGUAAACUUCUUUUGCAGGGGAAUAAAGUGCAGGACGUGUCCUGUUUUGUAUGUACCCUGAGAAUAAGGAUCGGCUAACUACGUGCCAGCAGCCGCGGUAAUACGGAGGAUCCGAGCGUUAUCCGGAUUUAUUGGGUUUAAAGUGUGCGUAGGUGGUUUGAUAAGUCAGCGGUGAAAGUUUGCAGCUUAACUGUAAAAAUGCCGUUGAAACUGUCGGACUUGAGUGUAAAUGAGGUAGGCGGAAGGCGUAGUGUAGCGGUGAAAUGCAUAGAUAUCACGCAGAACUCCGAUUGCGAAGGCAGCUUACUAAGCUACAACUGACACUGAAGCACGAAAGCGUGGGGAUCAAACAGGAUUAGAUACCCCAGUAGUCC
rnacentral:rRNA from 1 species